ensembl:lncRNA
AUGGCCAUCCAGCCUCUGCUUAAAAGCCUCCAAGGAAGGAGCCUCCACCACAGCCCCGGGGAGAGAGUUCCACUGUCGAACAGCUCUCACAGUGAGGAAGUUCUUCCUGAUGUUCAGGUGGAAUCUCCUUUCCUGUAUUUUGAAGCCAUUGUUCCGUGUCCUAGUCUGCAGGGCAGCAGAAAACAAGCUUGCUCCCUCUUCCCUAUGACUUCCCUUCACAUAUUUGUACAUGGCUAUCAUGUCUCCUCUCAGCCUUCUCUUCUGCAGGCUGAGAGGAGACAUGAUAGCCAUGUACAAAUACGUGAAGGGAAGUCAUAGGGAGGAGGGAGCAAGCUUGUUUUCUGCUGCCCUGCAGACUAGGACACGGAACAAUGGCUUCAAACUACAGGAAAGGAGAUUCCACCUGAACAUCAGGAAGAACUUCCUCACUGUGAGAGCUGUUCGACAGUGGAACUCUCUCCCCCGGGCUGUGGUGGAGGCUCCUUCUUUGAAGGCUUUUAAGCAGAGGCUGGAUGGCUAUCUGUCGGGGGUGCUUUGAAUGCUUCUUAGAGGGGGGUUGGACUGGAUGGCCCAUGAGGUCUCUUCCAACUCUACUAUUCUAUGAUUCUAUGAUUCUAUGAAAAGCAAGUAGGAGCCAAUCCUAGCACCAAGCCUGCUUUUCAGUAUCACAGAGACAGUGUGCCUGUCUGAAGCCGAGCACCUCCCAGAACUUGCCUCCUUGCCUUGGAAAGAGAGUGUGUGUCUGGCAUACAGGCCCAGAAAUCAUGCAUCUGACAGUGCUUGCAGCCAAGCGCCUCCUCUAGAGUAAGAAUUUCUAACUCUAGAGGAAGUGCUUGGCUGCAAGCACUGGAAGGUGUGUACUUUCUGGACUGCACAUCACACACACACUCUCUUUCCAAGGGAAAUCCCCCCAUAAUGGGCCAGUAGAAAACGGAUCUUUGGCACCCCAGAGCAAAAAAAGACAUCUGCCUUCCUGAUUUCGAGAGGCUCCCAAAAAACAGAUUGGGGCCCCCACCGAAAGCUGGAACACAAAACGGGUCAAGGUUUACCCCAAAUGGACAACCUAAUAGUCAACCUGUAAAGUUGCACCAAAGUUAUACUGUGCUCUAUACAGCAUUUGAGAUGUACCUGUUUAACAGUCUGGCUGCAACAUUGUUGAACAUCCAGAAUUGUAAGUAGCUAUCGAACACAGGAGCAUAUGAUACAUGCUGAAUAUAAGAAUGGACAAUUUUAUUAAUUUGCUUUCUCUUAUCUUCCUGCAAAUUAUGGAAAGUCCUUGACAAUACAAAUUGAAAUUCUCAGCUGGUCAGAUGUAGGUCUUAUAGGUGAAGAAACUUUCUGAAAAAAGAAAUGGCAGCCCUGAUUCAACAUCACAGAUAAUGAUAUGGCCGAGCAGACAAUUUUAGGAAAUACAGCUCAAAAUCCUCCACUUUAAUGGAUGAAUCUGUCAAUUUUACCUUUUCUAUUUUCUUUUAAAAACUCGUGUUCUUGCUGUCCAAUUUAUAAAGAAAUCUGCACAUUUUGUUAAGCUGUUGUUUUUUUAAAAAUCAAAGAAAAUUCUCACUCAUCCCUGAUGUGGUUCAUAUAGGAUAUAACAGAAAAAUCCUUCACUAUGUUCAUUGUUGUGGUUUAAUUGUAUUUUAAUGUAUUUGUUUUUAUGUUGUGUCUUGAAACAGUUUUUGGACUCUUUGAGUCCAAUUUAUGACUAAAGGUACAAUACAAACUAAAUGGAUAAAUAAAUAUAUAUUAUUUUACUCCUACCUUGCUUGCAUUUACAGGGAUAGAUAGAUUUUAAAAUUCUCUUUUAAAAACUAAAGAGCAAAAUGUUAAGCCCAUCAAUUUUUGAAGAGAAUCUUAAAGAUUGUAAUUACUAGCCAUUCUGCCUCUUACAGAGAAACAUUUUUAAGAUGUAAAAUUUAAAGCUCCAUCUACUGUUUGCAGAAAGAAUGUUGCAAAUGAUGUAUCAUUGCCACUGUACAAUUCUCAUAUUUUGAAAUUAUUUUUAUUACAGGGCAAGUUGUGUAUUUUAUAAAGCAUGUCAGUAGGAUGGUUGUAGCAUCAGUUGCUUACAAAGAAAGAAGCUGAGCUCUCAAUCAUAUCUGAAAAGCAAAACCUUUAAUGUAGAAAUCACUGCUAAUCUAAAUGGGUACAGGAACUUCCUAUAAUUACAAUUGGCUUUUCACAUAGUCAAAGGCAAUUCAAUCAAAUUGCACAAGAAAAUUGGCUUGAGAAAGAUGAAACAGGGAUGUGUAUCUGAAAAGUUUGAAUCAGAAACUUGAAGAUCACUAGACUGAACAUAUUGGAGGGAGGUGAAAAGCUAAUCGUGGGAGCUAAAAAGGAUCAACUCUGGUUAAUACUUGGAAGAGAUAAUGUAAAUGAACAUCAGGAGCUGUGAGCUCUAGUUCAGAAAAAGGAACUGGCAAAACAAUCUCUGAGUAUUCCUGCCUAGGAAUUCAUGAUGGGGUUGCCAUAGGUUGACAUGUGACUUGAAGGCACAUACAUAUAAACACAUGUUCAUGCUAAUUUGUAUACAAUAGGUAUGGGCAAAAUUCAGCCUUCAGAUGUUUUCAACUCCCACAAUUCCUAACAGCUGGUAAGAUGGUUGGGUUUUCUGAACGUUGAAGUCCAAAACAUUUGGAGGGCCAAAGUUUGCCCAUGCCUUGUGGUAUAUUGUGCCUUUAAGCCACACUCUCUGGUUGUUACAGCUGUAAUGUAUUUAACUACUGAUGGUUGGAAUAUCUCCUCAAUGGAUUGUCACCUUGACAUGGUGAAGGGGGCUUGCGUGUUCCAAUUAACCUGUGGGCACAACCACAGGAGUCACACACUCCCAGGAGUGGCCAUAGGGUCAUAGGGCCAAGAACAAUCCGAAGACCCAAAGACCUCAACGGUGGAGCAGGCGGAGGAUAACAUGGUACAUGUUACAACGGCUGUGAAGGCGGAAGAAGGCUGCAACAAACUGAGAAGCCACUCUCGUUGUGUUAAUCACACCACUGCUAGGACCUCACUCUGUGAAGUCUGUGUGUUGACCAGCCGUGCACCGACCUCCACACAUUAAAAAAAAUCAUGCACAGGCGUCUUCCAAGAAAUGGAGGACCAUCAUCCUCGAACUACGAGGGAUCGCCUAAGUAAAGUAAGGUUGGGAUAUAUAGUUUUGUGCACCCAAAGCCUCAGUAGCCUUCCUAGUGUUUGAAUAAACACCUUUGCUACAAGACUCUGCCGGCUGGUGAACUUGUUUCAUACGAAGAACACUACAUGGUGUCAGAAGUGGGAUACAAACCUCUCCUGUGCUACAACCUGGAAGCUAGCGUCCCCAGAAAAGGAGUGUUUAGACAUGGAGUCAUUUCGUCCUCCUCUUCCCCUUGCUAUGCAAUGUAAUAUGGCUGAGAACUGGAGAUGGUGGGAACAGGCUUUUCAGUUGUAUCUUGCUGCAGCGGGACUUGAGAAUAUAUCAAAGAAGUGGAAGAUAGCUAUCCUGCUACAUUGUGUGGGAGAGGAAGAAGUUUCUUUAUAUAAUACAUUUGUUUUUGCUGAAGAGAACCCGAAAGAUAUUUCAGAGGUACUGGAACAGUUUAGAACUUAUUUUUUUACCACGGAAGAACAUUGUGUUUGAAAGAUUUUGUUUCUGGAACCAGGUUAAUCAAUGUGCUUAAUAGGGCUGUGCAAUCAAGGAAAAAAUGUUUAAAAACUCAUUACAAAAUUCCAAGCUCAGAAUUUCUGUACUACCAGCACCUUAUUUUCAGCUAAUCUCUAAGGGCCUGUUAGGGAGGAUUGACAUAGGUCUAGCUUCAGGAACAGCCUCCCACAUGACUCCAACCUGGGCUGAACAGGACCAAGUAUUCAAUGCCUCUUCACCUCACCAUUUGAGGAUCCCUUAUGGAGUUUCCAGUGGAAACCCAGCCAUCUUUCUUCUCACUCAUGUUUAGGCGUGCCAGUUAGGCAAUGUCAGGAAAGAGAAAGCUGGGUGGAAACCCUCCCUUUUUCCUCCCUUGCAGUUGACCUUGUCUAAACAGACAUUAAAUUUUAUAGCUCCCUACAUUUUUGGAGUAAUUAAAAUCAAUCAAAGAGGAGACUGAAUAGCCCAGGGGGUUGUCAUGAUCUGUCUUCUUUAGCGCUGUGCCAACUGUUCUUAUAGAAGUCUGAUAUACAGUCACAUCUAAGUUAUUAUCAGGUAGUUCUGGCUGAAUGCUGAUAGUCACUAACAAAGCACCCAAAAAUGUAUAUAUUUUCAUAUACUACUUAACUUCAUAUAUAUGGAUGUCAGAAUAGAAACGCUUGCUAGCUGAGCCAACUGUGGUCCCUUCCAACUUGAAGAGCUUGUCCACCAUGUACUUUAUAUCCUGUGGUAAGUGAGAAGUCCCUGCUGGCUAUCUACACAACAUGCAGAGACUGCUAGUCCUUAUCAUGACAGAAAUCAAGUUAAACUGAUUUAGCCUCAUACUAAAGAAAGUCAGAGAAUACUCGAGAGCAGAGAUUCUCAACCUGUGGGCCCCCAGAUAUUUUGGCCUUCAUCUCCCAGAAAUCCUAACAGCUGGUAAACUGGCUGGGAUUUCUAGGCCAAAACACCUAGGGACCCACAGGUUGAGAACCACUUCUCUAGAGCUUUGGGUGAAACUCUAGGCUGAUCUAUAUUCUCCAGUUUUUGGGGGGUCAGUCCAGAGGUUUUAGG